CACGCUGUAAACGAUGAGUGCUAGAUGUCGCGGGUAUUGACCCCUGCGGUGUCGAAGCUAACGCAUUAAGCACUCCGCCUGGGGAGUACGGUCGCAAGACUAAAACUCAAAGGAAUUGACGGGGGCCCGCACAAGCGGUGGAGCAUGUGGUUUAAUUCGACGCAACGCGAAGAACCUUACCUAGGCUAGAAAACUUUGGAACCUGGAUGAAAGUCCGGGGUGCCCGCAAGGGAAUCAAUGUCCAGGUGC
rnacentral:rRNA from 1 species